rnacentral:tRNA from 1 species
UCUCUCCUAGUAUAACGGUCAUUGCGCCUCGGCACUAGUAUACUAGCAGGCCGGAGAGAUCUAGGUUCGAUUCCUAGGGAGGGUCAA